rnacentral:rRNA from 1 species
GACGAACGCUGGCGGCGUGCCUAAUACAUGCAAGUAGAACGCACAGUUUAUACCGUAGCUUGCUACACCAUAAACUGUGAGUUGCGAACGGGUGAGUAACGCGUAGGUAACCUGCCUGGUAGCGGGGGAUAACUAUUGGAAACGAUAGCUAAUACCGCAUAAUAUUAAUUAUUGCAUGAUAAUUGAUUGAAAGAUGCAAUUGCAUCACUACCAGAUGGACCUGCGUUGUAUUAGCUAGUAGGUGAGGUAACGGCUCACCUAGGCGACGAUACAUAGCCGACCUUAGAGGGUGAUCGGCCACACUGGGACUGAGACACGGCCCAGACUCCUACGGGAGGCAGCAGUAGGGAAUCUUCGGCAAUGGACGAAAGUCUGACCGAGCAACGCCGCGUGAGUGAAGAAGGUUUUCGGAUCGUAAAGCUCUGUUGUAAGAGAAGAACGGGUGUGAGAGUGGAAAGUUCACACUGUGACGGUAUCUUACCAGAAAGGGACGGCUAACUACGUG